rnacentral:rRNA from 1 species
GAUGAACGCUGGCGGUAUGCUUAACACAUGCAAGUCGAACGGUCACUUCGGUGAUAGUGGCGGACGGGUGAGUAACGCGUGAGAAUCUGUCUUCAGGUCGGGGACAACAGUUAGAAAUGACUGCUAAUACCGGAUGUGCCUUUGGGUGAAAGAUUUAUUGCCUGAAAAAGAGCUCGCGUCAGAUUAGCUAGUAGGUGGUGUAAGAGACUACCUAGGCUCCGAUCUGUAGAUGGUCUGAGAGGACGAUCAGCCACACUGGAACUGAGACACGGUCCAGACUCCUACGGGAGGCAGCAGUGGGGAAUUUUCCGCAAUGGGCGAAAGCCUGACGGAGCAAUACCGCGUGAGGGACGAAGGCUUUUGGGUAGUAAACCUCUUUUCUCAAGGAAGAUGAUGACGGUACUUGAGGAAUAAGCAGCGGCUAACUCUGUG